CAUGAAGUCUGAAGUAAGUAGUUGGAAGUAAGUCUCUCGCCCAUAUCAAGGGGCCCUACAUGACUUCUAGCCUGAACCGUUAAUACAAGAUAGGAUGGAUAUAUGUUGUCAUAAUUUAUGUCAAAUACUGACUAUAUCAUUCAAAUGCCACAGCAGAAAUGAUGCAACAUUUUAUAAUGUACAAAUGCAUAAUUUUGGUGAGCCUGUGGAGAUCACAGCCUCAGUUUUCUGUUCUUAUCUGGGAGUAGCAGCACCUGGUGUGGUCUUCUGCUGCUGUAGCCCAACUGCUUCAAGGAUCACUGUGUUAUGUGUUUAGAGAUGCUCUUCCUCAUGAUGACCAUUCUCUGUAAACACUAGAGAUGGUUGUACAGGAAAAUCCCAGAAGAUCAGCAGAUUCUGCCUGUAAGGCACCAAGAACCAGGCCAUUUUCAAAGUCACGUCAAUCAGCUUUUAUCUCCAUGUUGAUGCUCUGUUUGAACUUGAGCACAUCGACUUGACCAUCUCUACAAGCCUAAAUGUGUUGAAGUGCUGCAGUGGGAUUGGCUGAUUAGAUGUUUGCUUUAACAAGCAGCAGACAUGGCCAACGAGUGUAGAUGCUGAUCGUAUUAAACUUAACUGAAAGGAAGUGAGGCACCACCUUGUAGUGCUUUUCAGCUACUGUGCUUUACAAGUUAAUUAUCUUCUGAGCUGAAUUCUCAAAGACGCAGACCACUACAGUAUCAAAAUAAAUCAAUAAAAACCAGCAUGCACCUCUGUGUGACACUAAACCUUUAAUGAGUAAUAAAAGGAACCCGACCUUGCUCUCUGCCCUGCUCACAUCUGAUGGAGUGCUUAACGCAGCAGAAGGCCAAGAGGUAGCAAGGACAUCUCAGCAGCACUAGGAGAGGUCGGGUCAAGUACAUCUCUUAGGAGAUGUAAGGCAGUUUGGUGUGACUUAAGGGUGUGACUUUUCAUCCAGUGCCACCAUGAGGCUGACAAUGAUUUUGAGUGAAAUAUGUUGGAAGUUAUUUUGUGGAUUUUCAAAACAUGACUUAAAGACAUUCAGCCUCCCUGGAAGAUACAUUGUUGUUUUUGUUCAUUUGUGUCCAGUUUGUGUAAUGCUUCAAGGCCAAAGGUCAUACACCAGCGUGACGUUAUUAAACAUCUGAGGUCUCUUAUCCUUUAUUUUUUGAGCCUAGAGGCGACAGUAGCACCAGGGCUCACUGAUUCACUGCCAAAAAGAAAAAACACACAAUUCUUUCUUAACAUUUUAUUCAUUGUCCAAAUUCAUAUUCUUCCUUUUUUAAACAUUCUCUUAAACAAAAAUAGAACAACUAUUUACACUUGUAAAAAAUACAUAAAAAGCGUACAAGCCAAAUCAAGUUGUCUUUCUAAAAGACAUAAGUUCCAACAGCUAUUAAGUGUGAGACAAAAGCAAACUUUAAGCCACAGACCGAGUUAAUACCUCUUUGUACAGAUUGUGCAGCUCACUCACCACAUUUAAGCUUAUUGUUGUGCAUUUCUGCUGUAAUGCCAAAAGACGUCGACAUAAAACACAUUCACAUCUCUUA